ensembl:piRNA 21ur-7871 ncRNA
UUUUCUGAAUUGGCAAUGUGU